GCUCUAGCGAAGUCUUAAACUACGUUUCCCAGAAUCCACUGAGGUCCUAGUCUUCCGGUAGCGUCAGCGGAAGCGGUGACUAGAUCUGGCUGGGCCGCACAGAGGCCGGCUUGGUCACUAUGGAGGAGAUAGGCAUCUUGGUAGAGAAAGCUCAGGAUGAGAUCCCAGCACUGUCUGUGUCUCGGCCCCAGACUGGCCUUUCCUUCCUGGGGCCGGAGCCUGAGGACCUGGAGGACCUGUACAGCCGCUACAAGAAGCUGCAGCAAGAGUUGGAGUUCCUGGAGGUGCAGGAGGAAUACAUCAAGGAUGAGCAGAAGAACCUGAAGAAGGAAUUCCUCCAUGCCCAGGAGGAGGUGAAGCGAAUCCAAAGCAUCCCACUGGUCAUUGGGCAGUUUCUGGAGGCUGUGGAUCAGAAUACAGCCAUUGUGGGCUCCACCACAGGCUCCAACUACUACGUGCGCAUCCUGAGCACCAUUGAUCGGGAGCUGCUCAAGCCUAACGCCUCGGUGGCCCUGCACAAGCACAGCAAUGCCCUGGUGGACGUGCUGCCUCCUGAGGCUGACAGCAGCAUCAUGAUGCUCACCUCAGACCAGAAGCCAGAUGUGAUGUAUGCAGACAUCGGGGGCAUGGACAUCCAGAAGCAGGAGGUGCGGGAGGCUGUGGAGCUCCCACUUACACACUUCGAGCUGUAUAAGCAGAUCGGCAUCGACCCUCCCCGAGGCGUCCUCAUGUAUGGCCCACCUGGCUGCGGGAAGACCAUGCUGGCGAAGGCUGUGGCUCAUCACACGACAGCUGCGUUUAUCCGGGUCGUGGGCUCCGAGUUUGUACAGAAAUACCUGGGCGAGGGCCCCCGCAUGGUCCGGGACGUGUUCCGCCUGGCCAAGGAGAACGCACCUGCCAUCAUCUUCAUAGAUGAGAUUGACGCCAUUGCCACCAAGAGAUUUGAUGCCCAGACGGGGGCUGACAGGGAGGUUCAGAGAAUCCUGCUGGAGCUGCUGAAUCAAAUGGACGGAUUUGACCAGAACGUUAACGUCAAGGUGAUCAUGGCCACGAACAGAGCAGACACUCUGGAUCCUGCCCUGCUGCGGCCAGGACGCCUUGAUCGUAAAAUUGAAUUUCCACUCCCUGACCGCCGCCAGAAGAGAUUGAUUUUCUCCACUAUCACCAGCAAGAUGAAUCUCUCUGAGGAGGUUGACUUGGAAGACUGUAUCCUGCUCUAGAAGUGAGGGGAUGGUCCCGGCUGGGCUGGGGACCAGAUCUUCAUCUCCACCUCUGCCUUCUUGUACAGGGAAUGGUUGCCUUAACUCGCCUGUUGCAGAUGUGGCCCGACCAGAUAAGAUUUCAGGAGCCGAUAUCAACUCCAUCUGUCAGGAGAGUGGAAUGUUGGCUGUCCGUGAGAACCGCUACAUUGUUCUGGCUAAGGACUUCGAGAAAGCAUACAAGACAGUCAUCAAGAAGGAUGAACAGGAGCAUGAGUUUUAUAAGUGACCCCUCCCCCGCC